GAUGAACGCUGGCGGUGUGCCUAAUACAUGCAAGUCGAGCGAACGGACGAGAAGCUUGCUUUUCUGAUGUUAGCGGCGGACGGGUGAGUAACACGUGGAUAACCUACCUAUAAGACUGGGAUAACUUCGGGAAACCGGAGCUAAUACCGGAUAAUAUUUUGAACCGCAUGGUUCAAAAGUGAAAGACGGCCUUGCUGUCACUUAUAGAUGAAUCCGCGCUGCAUUAGCUAGUUGGUAAGGUAACGGCUUACCAAGGCAACGAUGCAUAGCCGACCUGAGAGGGUGAUCGGCCACACUGGAACUGAGACACGGUCCAGACUCCUACGGGAGGCAGCAGUAGGGAAUCUUCCGCAAUGGGCGAAAGCCUGACGGAGCAACGCCGCGUGAGUGAUGAAGGUCUUCGGAUCGUAAAACUCUGUUAUUAGGGAAGAACAUAUGUGUAAGUAACUGUGCACAUCUUGACGGUACCUGAUCAGAAAGCCACGGCUAACUACGUG
rnacentral:rRNA from 1 species